rnacentral:rRNA from 1 species
AUUGAACGCUGGCGGCAGGCCUAACACAUGCAAGUCGAGCGAGCGGCGGACGGGUGAGUAAUGUAUGGGGACUGCCCGAUAGAGGGGGCUAACUACUGGCACAGUUGGCUAAUACUGCAUACUAUCGGAUAACCCAUAUGGGAUUAGCUAGUAGGGGGGGUAAAGGCUCACCUAGGAGACGAUCUCUAGCUGGUCUGAGAGGAGGAUCAGCCACACGGGGACUUAGACACGGCCCAGACUCCUACGGAGGCAGCAGUGGGGAAUAUUGCACAAUGGUCGCAAGCCUGAUGCAGCAAUGCCGCGUGUAGGAAGAAGGCCUUAGGAUUGUAAAGUACUUUCGGCGGAGAGGCGUUACCCGCAGAAGAAGCACCGGCUAACUCCGUGCCAGCAGCCGCGGUAAUAC